UACGGAGGGGGCUAGCGUUGUUCGGAAUCACUGGGCGUAAAGCGCACGUAGGCGGACUCUUAAGUCGGGGGUGAAAUCCUGGAGCUCAACUCCAGAACUGCCUUCGAUACUGGGAGUCUUGAGUUCGGGAGAGGUGAGUGGAACUGCGAGUGUAGAGGUGAAAUUCGUAGAUAUUCGCAAGAACACCAGUGGCGAAGGCGGCUCACUGGCCCGAUACUGACGCUGAGGUGCGAAAGCGUGGGGAGCAAACAGG
rnacentral:rRNA from 1 species